GCUCAGAUUGAACGCUGGCGGCAGGCCUAACACAUGCAAGUCGAGCGGCAGCACGGGUACUUGUACCUGGUGGCGAGCGGCGGACGGGUGAGUAAUGCCUAGGAAUCUGCCUGGUAGUGGGGGAUAACGCUCGGAAACGGACGCUAAUACCGCAUACGUCCUACGGGAGAAAGCAGGGGACCUUCGGGCCUUGCGCUAUCAGAUGAGCCUAGGUCGGAUUAGCUAGUUGGUGAGGUAAUGGCUCACCAAGGCGACGAUCCGUAACUGGUCUGAGAGGAUGAUCAGUCACACUGGAACUGAGACACGGUCCAGACUCCUACGGGAGGCAGCAGUGGGGAAUAUUGGACAAUGGGCGAAAGCCUGAUCCAGCCAUGCCGCGUGUGUGAAGAAGGUCUUCGGAUUGUAAAGCACUUUAAGUUGGGAGGAAGGGCAGUUACCUAAUACGUAAUUGUUUUGACGUUACCGACAGAAUAAGCACCGGCUAACUCUGUGCCAGCAGCCGCGGUAAUACAGAGGGUGCAAGCGUUAAUCGGAAUUACUGGGCGUAAAGCGCGCGUAGGUGGUUCGUUAAGUUGGAUGUGAAAUCCCCGGGCUCAACCUGGGAACUGCAUUCAAAACUGUCGAGCUAGAGUAUGGUAGAGGGUGGUGGAAUUUCCUGUGUAGCGGUGAAAUGCGUAGAUAUAGGAAGGAACACCAGUGGCGAAGGCGACCANNCNGGA
rnacentral:rRNA from 1 species